rnacentral:rRNA from 1 species
UGGGGAAUUUUGCACAAUGGGGGAAACCCUGAUGCAGCGACGCCGCGUGAUUUAGAAGGCCUUCGGGUUGUAAAAAUCUUUUCUAUGGGAAGAAAAUGACAGUACCAUAGGAAUAAGGACCGGCUAAUUACGUGCCAGCAGCCGCGGUAAUACGUAAGGUCCGAGCGUUGUCCGGAAUCUUUGGGCGUAAAGGGUACGUAGGCGGGUAAGCAAGUUAGAAGUGAAAUCCUGUAGCUCAACUACAGUAAGCUUUUAAAACUGCUCAUCUUGAGAUAUGGAAGGGAAAGUGGAAUUCCUAGUGUAGCGGUGAAAUGCGCAGAUAUUAGGAGGAAUACCGGUGGCGAAGGCGACUUUCUGGCCAUAAUCUGACGCUGAGGUACGAAAGCGUGGGUAGCAAACAGG